rnacentral:rRNA from 1 species
UGGGGAAUAUUGCACAAUGGAGGGAACUCUGAUGCAGCGACGCCGCGUGAACGAAGAAGGCUUUCGAGUCGUAAAGUUCUUUUAUAUGGGAAGAUAAUGACGGUACCAUAAGAAAAAGCCCCGGCUAACUACGUGCCAGCAGCCGCGGUAAUACGUAGGGGGCUAGCGUUGUCCGGAAUCACUGGGCGUAAAGGGUUCGCAGGCGGAAAUGCAAGUCAGGUGUAAAAGGCAGUAGCUUAACUACUGUAAGCAUUUGAGACUGCAUAUCUUGAGAAGAGUAGAGGUAAGUGGAAUUUUUAGUGUGGCGGUGAAAUGCGUAGAUAUUAAAAAGAAUACCGGUGGCGAAGGCGACUUACUGGACUCAUUCUGACGCUGAGGAACGAAAGCGUGGGUAGCAAACAGG